AACCAGCCCCGAUUGCAGCGGCAUCCUUUUUCUUUUUGGCGGCUGGGAAGUGGGAUGGCAAAGAAAAAGAUAUAGCGGAAAGCGGGAUCAGCU
rnacentral:sRNA from 1 species